CUAUAUUACUAUAUUACUUAUCUACAUAUUAGUGCAUUGUGUGCAUGUGUAUGUGCACGUGUAUCGCUCAUUUUCUGCAAAAAUGACAUAAUGACAAAAAAACCACCAAUUUAGGAAUAUUUGACGAAUAUAAACAGGACGAUUUUGAAACAGGAUUUCUAACUUUGAUUAAUUUCAAAGUUUCGAUUCUUUAGGUCUCAAGCUUAUAAGUCUUACGUUUUAAGUUUUAAUUUCAAUCACUUCAUACGUAUUCUAAACGUAAGCAAGUAUUCUACUUUUCUACCAAUAGCUUUUUAAAAAUAAUUAUGAACGACAUAUAUUUCCUGGCAAAGUUUGACCUCAAGAUCUUGAAUUUAACAAGAAAAAGAAAAAAGAAAAGAAAGCGAAUUCAAAAUAUUAAGGGUGGAAAUAUUAUACAUGGGGUAAAUGUCCACUACACAGGAUGUCCCAAGCAAUCAUGAUACAAUCUAUCAACAAACUGGGAUGAUUCUACGUGAGCAAAAACAAAAAAGAAAUGAAGAGGAAAGUUAACAACUAAAUGUGCUAGUGGAACGCCCGAUUGAGAGACUGCUCGCUGGGAAAAACGACGGCCCGAUAUAAAUACCACUUCAUAAUCCUCUUAUGACCUGUAAUCAUCCCUCUAUAUGUGUAUGUAUUCAACAAGUGACGUUUGAGACCCGAGACUCUUGUCAUCGUUAUCAAACAACGUUAUCCGCCAGGACCGAUUACUUCGGGGCCGAUUAGGAGAACAACGAAGGAACCAAUUGCUAAAAGCGCGUGAUUCCUGAAGUUUUCAGGAUCGAUCACUCGCCAGGUAUCAGAACGUCAAGAAAGGAAGAAAUUAAAAAAAAUAUAUAUAUGCGUGAUCAAUACAAACAGCAGAGAGGCACGGUCCCGGGCAGAGAUAUUCUUGACUGAUUGCUGAACCACGACCACGGUUAAACGUCGACGCGUCACGAGUCGCGUUAGACGAUAAGAUCACGAUCGCAUUGACCCGGUGAUGCGGAGGGGUCUGCAGAUAAUAAAGUGUCUGGUGAACCUUGUGGGUCAGACGACACCGUCCUGCGCUUUUCUUUCCUUCGAACGAGUCACUCUUUUUUUGACUUCCCGGACAGCCGACAGAUACACUCUCCGAAGGCGACGUUUCGCGUUCCUGGACGUGCACUUGGUUUCUCUACCUCUUCUUCCUGGUUCAGAAAACAACGGUCAACAACAAGGGUGCUGGAAGGUUGACCCUCCUCAAAGUUCAAGGGGUUCUCUGCCAACCGAGAGAAGGAAAACCAGGCAACGUGCCAGACCAAAUGAGCCUUCCAAGAGCCGGGGCGAUAACUGGCCUGGCCAAGGAUGUUCGUCCAGUGUCGCUGUCCUGGCAACGCGGCUCGCCUGUCCGCUGUCCGAGUACCUUAACUACGGCUGUUAAUUAGCGGAUGAUCGAUCGACGGGUGUUGCGCUCGAUUUCCACCGGCCACGGGAUCAGCAUAUUCGCUGCACUCUCUCCCUCUCUCUCUCUUUUUCUCUGUGUGUAUGUAUGUCUCCGGCCACUCGCCACCGUGAACUUUCACGAUCUCGAUGGAAAACGAAGCGCACGCCCUCCGCGCCAGGGCUCACCCCUCCACACUCCACACGGAGCAGAGCGUGUGUGUAUGUGCGUUAGGCGUUAAUGUCUGCGGAUUGAUCGUGCACACGGAUGACUGGAGCGACAGGAAGGAUUCGACGGGAGGUGUUCAGUCUGCAAAUAACGAGGGAGUUGCAAA